rnacentral:rRNA from 1 species
UGGGGAAUUUUGGACAAUGGGCGAAAGCCUGAUCCAGCAAUGCCGCGUGUGUGAAGAAGGCCUUCGGGUUGUAAAGCACUUUUGUCCGGAAAGAAAUCCUUGGCUCUAAUACAGUCGGGGGAUGACGGUACCGGAAGAAUAAGCACCGGCUAACUACGUGCCAGCAGCCGCGGUAAUACGUAGGGUGCAAGCGUUAAUCGGAAUUACUGGGCGUAAAGCGUGCGCAGGCGGUUUGCUAAGACCGAUGUGAAAUCCCCGGGCUCAACCUGGGAACUGCAUUGGUGACUGGCAGGCUAGAGUAUGGCAGAGGGGGGUAGAAUUCCACGUGUAGCAGUGAAAUGCGUAGAGAUGUGGAGGAAUACCGAUGGCGAAGGCGAGCCCCCUGGGCCAAUACUGACGCUCAUGCACGAAAGCGUGGGGGAGCAAAACAGGAUUAGAUACCCUGGUAGUCCACGCCCCUAAACGAUGUCAACUGUUGUUGGGGAUUCAUUUCCUUAGUAACGUAGCUAACGCGUGAAGUUGACCGCCU